AGAUGUGAGGGCGAUCUGUCUGCCUCGUCUGUCACCUCAUUGAUCACCAGGGUUGGUUCAGCUGAUCCAGCUGGCUAGGCUGGUAUUCCUCCCUCAACCCGUCCCUCCCAAGGCUGCAUGCUCAGUUGAAGAGGACGACCUUCCCUUAUCAGAGGAGGGCCAGUCUUCACUCAAGGUUAUAGGAGUAGCUGAGCUUCCCUGAUAGAACCUCCAAGCCUUUCAAGAUAGCUAAAGCCCUAGCAAGCAGCUUUCAGAUUCCUUUAUUUCAAUGCUGAAGAAUCAGACCAAUGAUGGUCCUGUUUGUGU
rnacentral:snRNA from 1 species